UGCCAGCCGCCGCGGUAAUACGGAGGGGGUUAGCGUUGUUCGGAAUUACUGGGCGUAAAGCGCGCGUAGGCGGACUCGCAAGUCGGUUGUGAAAUCCCUGGGCUCAACCUAGGAACUGCAUCCGAAACUGCUUGUCUUGAGUAAUGGAGAGGGUGGCGGAAUUCCCGGUGUAGAGGUGAAAUUCGUAGAUAUCGGGAGGAACAUCAGUGGCGAAGGCGGCCACCUGGACAUGUACUGACGCUGAGAUGCGAAAGCGUGGGGAGCAAACAGGAUUAGCUA
rnacentral:rRNA from 1 species